GAUCCUGGCUCAGGAUGAACGCUGGCGGCGUGCCUAAUACAUGCAAGUAGAACGCUGAAGGAGGAGCUUGCUCUUCUGGAUGAGUUGCGAACGGGUGAGUAACGCGUAGGUAACCUGCCUGGUAGCGGGGGAUAACUAUAGGAAACGAUAGCUAAUACCGCAUGACAACAGUUAUUGCAUGAUAACUGUUUAAAGGGGGCAACUGCUCCACUACCAGAUGGAUCUGCGUUGUA
rnacentral:rRNA from 1 species